GUGCUUGUUUCAGCAACACAUAUACUAAAAUUGGAACGAUACUAAGAAGAUUAGCAUGGCCCCCGCACAGGGAUGACAUGCAAACUUGUGAAACGUUCCAUAUUUUU
ensembl:snRNA U6 U6 spliceosomal RNA